rnacentral:lncRNA from 1 species
CGCAUCCUACCUGCUUCGGAGGUGUACUGCCUAUGCACAUUCCUUGUACUCACUGUGCUGCUGCUGAGGUGUGAGGCAAACUCCGCUUGGGAACUGAGCUAGUGGAGAAAGGAUCUUAAAAGCGACCUGAUGGGUUCUGGGAAAGUCUUCCUUUUCUCUCCUUCCCUCCUGUGGAGUCAAACUAGAGGAGUGAGGUUGAUAUUCUUGUUACUAACCCUGCAUCUGGGAAACUGGUUUUUGUGAUCACAUUUUUUGCUUCUUUCCUACCAAUAAAAGUAGAAAGGACCAUGUAUCUUUCUCCCCCUAACUUUGUCAAAGUGUUUUGAGCUAUUUAGUAAUUCUCAUCUUAAAGCAAAACAGCACUCAAGCAUACUAAACAAGCUAAGUAUUUUCCAUGUGGUCUAUGUGAAAGGGGAGAUGGAAAGACCUUAGGAGCCAGUGACCCCAAGGAAACAGCAUCUUCCAGACACCAUACUGCU